AAUGAAACGUUAGAUGGCGAUCUAUUUGCUUCAAUGUAUAUUUUAAAUUGGCUUUUUAUUGUACAGUGAAUUCCGACUUAUUUUGACAAAAAAAUCAGCGCCAUCUUGCGGUUUUUUAGUUGGAAUUUCGCUGCAAUGAUCAAAGAACUUAUCGAAUGAUUUUCUAUUUAAGGCUGAUUAUGAUUAGUUCAUCCUCUCUUGAGUGAAAACUCACAAAUAAACAAUUAUCAUCGAUAAAAAAGAUCAAAAAUUCGACAACAAAAUAUUGCGAUCUCUUAGUUGCCAACUGAUUUCAUCUAGAUGGCGCUGAUUUUUUUGUCAAAAUAAGUCGGAAUUCACUGUAAGUUAACAAAAAAUUUAAGCGUUAAUUGAUUGUUUUUUAACCAGCCUUGGCUAUUUUAAUUAUUUUUAUAAUUUAUCGAUUUUAAAUCUAACUAAUCAUCUCAUCUUAAUCUCAACAAUCGAUGCUGAUGGUGCUGUUGAUUGUUAUCAAGGAUCACGAGAGAAAGCUGGAUGUCGCGAUUUUCAAACCUUGUUCAGUCUUUCGUCAAAUUUUAUGCCUUUCUAGUGACAGUACUUAUUAUCAAGUGCAAAAAUGUUGAUUAAUUUAAUCUGAUGCGUCAAAUCUGUUGUUUUGAUUGCUUGGGUGAUUAAAAACAAAUCAGCAAGGUGAAGAAGCUCUUGUAAAAGUGUUACAUGUGCUUUUUUGGCUAUCUUCCUGGAUCCUUCAAAUCCUCUACAGUUGUUCAUUUUUAACGGAAAUCCCAUUCACUUCGAUACCCAUUCAGUACCCAACUGAUCUGAUAAUUGCUGAUAUCAAUGUAUUUCGAGUGACAUUUAUUCUCUGUUUUACGCUCACAUCUGCAUGUAUUCACAAUCAGGAAAAUUCUGUGGUUUCAAAUUCUUACCGAGAGAUGAAUAUGGUACAGGAUCACUUGUUGGUGUUGUUGGGAUGAAAUAUGAAGGUGCUGAUGAUGCUCCAUAACUUGGAUGCAUGGUGGGAAUACCAAACGGCGAUCCAAAUCCAGUUUGGAUUUGUUGACUUCCCACUUGCUUUCUCCACCGAGCACGUCGAUUACUAAACCAUACCUGGACAAAAAGAAACAAAGCCAAUUAGAACUAUUAAUGAACAAUGGAAAGGAGGAAUCCAAUUGGAGGAAUUGGCGGAUUAAAUCAACAAUCAAGUUUCCUGACAAAUGGAAAGCAAAAAUGAAAGGCAAAUAAUUCUGCGGGUUUUCAAGUAUUGAACUAAUUUCCAAGCAAGCCCGAUAACCUCAAACAAUCAUUCAACAACAAGCUGACAAACAAGGAUAUUUACAACUGUAACUCUUUCAAAGACAGAAAUGUAAUUUCUGGACAAAUUCAAUCCAAAAAUGUCAUUCAUUUUACAAGAUUGAAACAAGGCUUUCUAAUGAUAAUGAAGGAUCUAUUGAACAGUGGCAACACAUUAGUUUAAAUACAAGACCUCCCAGACAAACAACAACAAAACAACCCAAAUCAUGGUAAAAGGUAGACACAAAAAAACCACUAAACACCAAAGUUUUUUUGGUGUUUUUCAGUUUGGUUAAUAUUUUUACUGUUCAUGAUGCCAAUUGAAACAUUAAAUGUUCAAUUAGCGGUAAAUUUUUGGCAUUUUUGGAUUAAUAAGCCAAGCCGGAGCUUCAAGUGGAAGACUGUUCAACUCAAAAAAUGCAAUGUUUGGUCCAAGUCAAUGUUUUCACAGAUUGAGGUAAAUUUAAACUCACAAAUUUUCAAGACAUUAUCUUGAAUUAUCAGGAAUACGAAUUGACCAAACUGAGCAAUUAAACUGUAUUUGAUCCUAAUGAACGUUUACUUUUAGCUAACCUUCAACAGUACUUUCAGGUUAUAAUCAAGAUUGUACUUUUUCUUGUAACUAUUUUGCUCAUUUUUACAUGAAUUUGGAUAAAAUUGGCUGAAAAAUUCACACAACACAUGAUUACUAAACCUUUUGAAUGUUUUCCCAUUAAAAAAUGACUUUCCAUCUUA